UCAGCUGAGCCCGAGCUCAGAAACUGAUUUCCGUGUAGACAGGGUUUACAUAGGAUUUUUCACUCAUCCAUUGGCUGCAGCAGCCGGCAGGGAUAUACGGAUCAAUUCCAUGAUCCAACAAACCGGGCGUCAAGAAAUUCUAUAUCAAAUGGAGUACAAUAAACAGUACUAUAAUGAAUUCAUAACGAACGGUCCAUGGCAAAGUCACAUGCCAUAAGGUAUCAAUCCAUCAGGUCCAUGGCAAAGUCACACGCCAUAAGGUAUCAAUCCAUCAACAUAUCAAUCGGUAUUCAUGCCUCCACAGCGAUAAAGCUUCUUAAUUUGUAGCCAUGCUAGCACCCUGACCUUGCAACUGUCAAAUCACAGCGCCACAUUCAGCUUGGGGUUCCGAGGACGAAAUGCUCGUCUAACUAUGACUUCGUCGAUUGGCUCUGCACAAACAGGACGAGAAUCAAUCAGACGACACAGAAGAAAAACAUUCAGCUCAGGUUGCACAAAUUAAGUAGCACUUCAGAGCAGAAUCGAACAGACUAAUCACAGGCCCGUGCUUCGCUUCGCUCCUAGAUGCUCAUUUUGAUCGAAGGCUUUAUGAAUUAAUUACCGCAAGUAUCUAGCAGGGUAUACUUUUUCUACCUGGAUGGCCGGCCAGCUAGUUUUAGCGGUACAACGAAAGAAAUCUCUCCUCGAGGUGGCCUUACAACACUAAUUUCACGGAUGCUAUAUUUAUAAAGGGUGGUGGUUUGUGGCUUUGUGUUAGUGAAACACGCAUUAAGAGCUGGGUUUACGUAAGCGCCAUGUGCAGCAGGUUCAAUUGUCGUAAAUUUUGCCCAUUGUCUGCAAAUAAUUAGUGCUAAAUAAGCAUAGGCAAAUUCAAUACAGAAUUUGCAAAUUACUCUGGAAGCUCUGACACACGUAUCUGUCGUAUUCCAAUGUUGCUGCAGAUUCGUGGAGAUGAAGUACAGCAGUGGAUUAAUUUGACAGUGUGAAUCAACUGAACUAACAGAU
rnacentral:lncRNA from 1 species